rnacentral:rRNA from 1 species
UGGGGAAUAUUGCGCAAUGGGCGAAAGCCUGACGCAGCGACGCCUCGUGAGGGAUGAAGGUCUUCGGAUCGUAAACCUCUGUCAAGAGGGAAGAAACCCUUGGAUUCGAAUAGGGUCCUUGGCUGACGGUACCUCAAAAGGAAGCACCGGCUAACUCCGUGCCAGCAGCCGCGGUAAUACGGAGGGUGCAAGCGUUAAUCGGAAUCACUGGGCGUAAAGCGCUCGUAGGCGGUUUGGUCAGUCAGAUGUGAAAGCCCUCGGCUUAACCGGGGAACUGCAUUUGAUACUGCCAGACUUGAGUGUCGGAGAGGGUGGCGGAAUUCCGGGUGUAGGAGUGAAAUCCGUAGAUAUCCGGAGGAACACCAGUGGCGAAGGCGGCCACCUGGACGACAACUGACGCUGAGGAGCGAAAGCGUGGGGAGCAAACA